rnacentral:rRNA from 1 species
AGCGAACGCUGGCGGCAGGCCUAACACAUGCAAGUCGAACGAACUCUUCGGAGUUAGUGGCGGACGGGUGAGUAACACGUGGGAACGUGCCUUUUGGUUCGGAAUAACUCAGGGAAACUUGUGCUAAUACCGAAUGUGCCCUUCGGGGGAAAGAUUUAUCGCCAUUAGAGCGGCCCGCGUCUGAUUAGCUAGUUGGUGAGGUAACGGCUCACCGAGGCGACGAUCAGUAGCUGGUCUGAGAGGAUGACCAGCCACACUGGGACUGAGACACGGCCCAGACUCCUACGGGAGGCAGCAGUGGGGAAUCUUGCGCAAUGAGCGAAAGCCUGACGCAGCCAUGCCGCGUGAAUGAUGAAGGUCUUAGGAUUGUAAAAUUCUUUCACCGGGGACGAUAAUGACGGUACCCGGAGAAGAAGCCCCGGCUAACUUCGUG